rnacentral:rRNA from 1 species
CCUACGGGAGGCAGCAGUGGGGAAUAUUGCGCAAUGGGCGAAAGCCUGACGCAGCGACGCCGCGUGAGGGAUGAAGGUCUUCGGAUCGUAAACCUCUGUCAGCAGGGAAGAACGGGCACUGUGCUAAUCAGCAGUGAAUUGACGGUACCUGUCGAAUAAGCCACGGCUAACUACGUGCCAGCAGCCGCGGUAAUACGUAGGUGGCAAGCGUUGUCCGGAUUUACUGGGCGUAAAGGGCGUGUAGCCGGGUUGACAAGUCAGAUGUGAAAUCCUGCGGCUUAACCGCAGAACUGCAUUUGAAACUGUUGUUCUUGAGUACUGGAGAGGCUGACAGAAUUCCUAGUGUAGCGGUGAAAUGCGUAGAUAUUAGGAGGAACACCAGUGGCGAAGGCGGUCUGCUGGACAGCAACUGACGGUGAGGCGCGAAAGCGUGGGGAGCAAACAGGAUUAGAUACCCGUGUAGUC